rnacentral:misc_RNA from 1 species
GGCAUACUUCUGAGUCCAGCUCCUCGAGGUAGUCUCAUACUUGUUACGGUCCGUCUUAUACAUAUGGGCGAUCUCGGGAACUAGUGGAUCAUCAGGGUUCGGGUCCGUCAAUAGGGAACAGAUGGAAAGCAACACCUUGGAAAUGGUUAAUGCGGGACUCCAUUGUUCCUUCAAGAUGUCAAGGCAAAUGCUUCCGUUGCUGUUAAUAUUUGGAUGGAAGACCUUUGUCCUGAAUGCUACCUUGGGUGGUUUGAAAGGAUAGUCCGGAGGGAAGUGGAUGGUAACCAGAAACACUCCUCCGGAAUAAGGGCUAUCAGGGGG